rnacentral:rRNA from 1 species
GACGAACGCUGGCGGCGUGCUUAAUACAUGCAAGUCGAGCGGAAAGACGCGGCGCUUGUUGCGUUCUCGAUUGGCGAACGCGGGAGUAACACGCGAGGAACCUGCCCUUAACUUUGUGAUAACACUACGGAACAGGGGCGAAAACCGGGGAUGAUCUCCUGCUGCAUGUGGUUGGUUAGAAAAUGUCGGCGGUGGUGGCUCGUCUCGAAGGUUAUCAGCUGGUUUGUCGGGUAGUUGAUUCCCAAGUGUUUGACGGGUAGCCGGCCUGGGAGGGUGACCGGCGACAUUGGGACUGAGAUACGGAGCAGAAUGCUACGGGAGGCAGCAGUGGGGAAUAUUGCAGAAUGGGGGGACGCCUGAUGCAGCAACCCUGCGUGCGGGAUGCCGUCCUUCGGGUUGUAAACCGCUUUCGACUGUGACGAAGAGUGCGUGACGGUAAUGGGUAAAGAAGCACCGGCUAACUACGUG